GUACACGAGCGGCGAACGGGUGAGUAACACGUGGGUGAUCUGCCCUGCACUUCGGGAUAAGCCUGGGAAACUGGGUCUAAUACCGGAUAUGACUUCGGGUCGCAUGGCCUGGGGUGGAAAGAUUUAUCGGUGCAGGAUGGGCCCGCGGCCUAUCAGCUUGUUGGUGGGGUAAUGGCCUACCAAGGCGACGACGGGUAGCCGACCUGAGAGGGUGACCGGCCACACUGGGACUGAGACACGGCCCAGACACCUACGGGAGGCAGCAGUGGGGAAUAUUGCACAAUGGGCGAAAGCCUGAUGCAGCGACGCCGCGUGAGGGAUGACGGCCUUCGGGUUGUAAACCUCUUUCAGCAGGGACGAAGCGCAAGUGACGGUACCUGCAGAAGAAGCACCGGCCAACUACGUGCCAGCAGCCGCGGUAAUACGUAGGGUGCAAGCGUUGUCCGGAAUUACUGGGCGUAAAGAGCUCGUAGGCGGUUUGUCGCGUCGUCUGUGAAAACCCGUGGCUCAACCACGGGCGUGCAGGCGAUACGGGCAGACUUGAGUACUGCAGGGGAGACUGGAAUUCCUGGUGUAGCGGUGAAAUGCGCAGAUAUCAGGAGGAACACCGGUGGCGAAGGCGGGUCUCUGGGCAGUAACUGACGCUGAGGAGCGAAAGCGUG
rnacentral:rRNA from 1 species